rnacentral:rRNA from 1 species
CCCUUAGAUGUUCUGGGCCGCACACGCGCUACACUGAAGGAGGCAGCGUGUACUCCUGGAUCGAAAGAUUUGGGUAACCCGCGAAUCUCCUUCGUGCUAGGGAUUGAGGUUUGCAAUUAUCCUUCAUGAACGAGGAAUUCCCAGUAAGUGCAAGUCAUAAGCUUGCGCUGACUACGUCCCUGCCCUUUGUACACACCGCCCGUCGCUACUACCGAUUGAGUGAUUUAGUGAGGACUUCGGACUGGGACCGAUGCGGCUUUCGGGCUGCGUCGGUAUUCUGGAAAGAUGUCCAAACUGUNUNAUUUAGNGGAAGUAAAANUCGUANCA